AUGCUCACUUCCACAGCCCCCAUUUUAAAAUGGGAAUGAUAUAGGGAAGAUUAUCAUGGUCUCUGUGCAAGGGUGACAUAUAAAUUUACAAAGCAUUCUAUACUUUU